UUUGGUUCUACAACGUGAGCUGAUACCAAUAGCCCCUGGAGGGAUUGUUAAAACACUGAUUCCAGGGCCCUAGCCAUGGAGUGUCUGAUUCAGUAGGCCUUAGGUAAGGUCUGAAAAUCUGCAUUUCUAACAAGGUCCCAGGUGAUACUGACGCUACUGAUUCAGGGAUCACACUUUGAGAACCGCUGAAUAGACUGCCAUUCAAGCCAAGCCAAUCCUCUUGGCUCUACCUUCAAAAUAAACCCAGAAUCCAACCACUCCUUCCCACCUGCAUCACACUCCGGUCCCAGUACCUUCAUUUCUCACCUGGAUUAGUGCAGUCACUUCCUCACUGGCUCCGUACUUCCUGGACUCCCCACCUUGUUGCUUCUUCAAUAAAAGCCUCC
rnacentral:lncRNA from 1 species